rnacentral:tRNA from 1 species
GCCGGGAUAACUCAUUUGGUAGAACAGAGGACUGAAAAUCCUCGUGUCACCAGUUCAA